GGAAGACUCAACAAUGGUGAAGGGCGGGGUCUGGAUGUGGGCGUCUGGGGUUCCCCGGGGAAGGGCACAACUCACUACGUUACCUACAGAUCCUUCAGACUGGCCAGGAGAUCAUGGAACUGGACACCAGUGGCUUUGCCACACAGGGCCCCACGGUUUUUGCUGGAAACAUUGGGGACAAUCGCUACAUUGUCCAAGUGUCACCACUGGGCAUCCGCUUGCUAGAAGGAGGUAGGUGGGCAAGUGUAGGGAAGCGCGUCCUGGGGAGUAUGCUGCAUUGGCCACCCUGUGCUGACCACCCUGUGCCCACAGUGAAUCAGCUGCACUUCAUCCCUGUGGACCUGGGUGCCCCCAUCGUGCAGUGCGCUGUGGCCGACCCCUAUGUGGUCAUCAUGAGCGCCGAGGGCCGUGUUACCAUGUUCCUGCUCAAGAGUGAUUCGUAUGGUGGCCGCCACCACCGCCUUGCACUGCACAAGCCUCCACUGCACCAUGUAGGCCUCACCCUCUGUGUCUGCCAUCCCUGCCUAUGAUCCCCUAUCCCCACUGUCCCCGACCUACACUGGGCUUUGUCUCUCCCUGCAGCAGUCCAAGGUGAUCACACUCUGCCUGUAUCGUGAUGUCAGCGGCAUGUUCACCACCGAGAGCCGCCUGAGUGGGGCCCGUGAUGAGAUGGGGGGCCGCAGUGGUUCAGAGGCCGAAGGACUGGGCUCAGAGACCAGGUGUGCAGGGGGCCAGGGUGCAGGAGACCUGGGUCUCUGUGGCAGAUUGAGACAUGUCUGUGUCUUCAGCCCUACAGUGGAUGACGAGGAGGAGAUGCUCUAUGGGGACUCAGGCUCCCUCUUCAGCCCCAGCAAAGAGGAGGCCCGGAGGAGCAGCCAGCCCCCUGCUGACCGAGACCCUGCACCCUUUCGGGCAGAGCCCACCCACUGGUGCCUGCUGGUGCGAGAGAACGGCACCAUGGAGGUAGGUGCACACAUGUGGCUCAGCAGCCCUGGCAGCAUGGCAGGCCCUAUCGUCACUGACUGCUGUCCCCCACCAGAUCUACCAGCUUCCAGACUGGCGGCUGGUGUUCCUGGUGAAGAACUUCCCUGUGGGGCAGCGGGUCCUGGUGGACAGUUCCUUUGGACAGCCUACCACGCAGGGUGAGGCCCGCAAGGAAGAGGCCACGCGCCAGGGGGAGCUGCCCCUGGUCAAGGAGGUGCUGCUGGUUGCUCUGGGGAGUCGCCAGAGCAGGCCCUACCUGCUGGUGAGCCCUUUGGUGCCUGCCCAGAGGCUGGGACCUGCCCUCACAGCCCAGCCCAUUCCUCCACUCUGUCCUCGGGGCCCAGCCCCACCUCGUGGCCCACCCUGUCUCACUUCCAGGUGCAUGUGGACCAGGAGCUGCUUAUCUAUGAGGCUUUUCCCCAUGACUCUCAGCUUGGCCAGGGCAAUCUCAAAGUUCGCUUCAAGAAGGUGCAGCUGCUAGACCCUUUUGGGGUGGGUUGGGAGGGGUCCAGGCUACAGGGUCUGAAGGGCCUGGCGUUCAUCAACACCUUCACCAGGUCCCCCACAACAUCAAUUUCCGUGAAAAGAAGGCAAAACCCUCCAAGAAGAAGGCAGAAGGUGGCAGUGUGGAGGAGGGUUCUGGGGCCCGGGGACGUGUGGCACGUUUCCGCUACUUCGAGGACAUUUAUGGCUAUUCUGGGGUAGGCAGGCAGCUUUGUUUGGGCUUGGGGGUAGGGGAACAGGACCUUGCCCACAUGUUCUCACAGUGUCUGUCUCCAGGUGUUCAUCUGUGGCCCCUCACCCCACUGGCUCCUAGUGACUGGCCGGGGGGCUCUGCGGCUGCACCCCAUGGGCAUCGAUGGCCCCAUCGACUCCUUCGCCCCAUUCCACAAUGUCAAUUGUCCCCGAGGCUUUCUGUAUUUCAACAGACAGGUAGGAAGGUUAACUCUGGCCGCACCACAAGCACUGGUACUGCCCUGGCAAAGCUAGGCGCUAGGGACAGGAGGGCUCCUCAGCUGCAGCACAUCCCAGAGGACCAGGGAUGACUAUCUAGAGGAGGGUAGGGCCCAGGAGGUGGGAUCUGGGGCUUGAGGCUGGAGCAGUUGGCAGUGGAGGCCUGGCUGAUGGGGCAUACCCUGAAAGCCCUUGCCUCAUCUGUGACACCCACAUGGCAGCAAUGACCACCUGAGUCACUGACAGACUCUGGUGUUGAGUGCUUCCAAGGGGCUAAUGCACUCAGGACUGGACAGAAGCUGAGGCUGGGGCUGGCAGGGUCUCCCUCUGCCUGUGUUCUUCAGUCCCUGGCAUGGCCAGUCUCAGUCAUGUGGCUUUUAGUCUCUAGUGUCCUCUGGGCUUGGACUCCCAUGCCCUGUGCUGUAUUCCCCAGCCAGAAGGAUGGACAGGAGCCUACUGAUAGAAGGCAUGGGGACUGACGACCAAGGCUACAGCUCUUCCAGACCUUCCCCAGACUCGGUGACCCUAGCCAGGCAGUAGCGAGGCCUGCAGCCCUAGGCCUUGCUGACUAUUUCCACCCACCCCAGGGUGAGCUGCGGAUCAGUGUCCUGCCUGCCUACUUGUCCUACGAUGCCCCAUGGCCCGUCAGGAAGAUCCCACUGCGCUGCACGGCUCACUAUGUGGCUUACCAUGUGGAGUCCAAGGUCUGUCCCCUCCCCCAGCACUCCCUCCCCCAGGCACCCCAGGCGUGUGACACCAUUCAACUCCUAGGUGUACGCCGUGGCCACCAGCACCAAUACACCCUGCACCCGCAUCCCGCGCAUGACUGGUGAGGAAAAGGAGUUUGAGGCCAUUGAGAGAGGUAUGUGCCACCAGGGGUGGGGUGGACCAUGCCCAGGGCUGGCUACGACCACUGCCUCCUUGUCCCUGCAGAUGACAGGUACAUCCACCCCCAACAGGAGGCCUUCUCCAUCCAGCUCAUCUCCCCAGUCAGCUGGGAGGCCAUUCCCAAUGCCAGGUGAUGUUGGGCCCAGUGGGGGCUUCCGGGUGCCAGCAGGGCAGGACUAGGGUGUCCUGAUACAGCCUGUCCUUGUGCAGAAUUGAGCUGGAGGAAUGGGAACACGUCACAUGCAUGAAGACAGUGUCGCUGCGCAGUGAGGAGACUGUGUCGGGCCUCAAGGGCUAUGUGGCUGCUGGGACCUGCCUCAUGCAGGGAGAGGAGGUCACGUGCCGCGGGCGGGUAAGCAGCUGCCAGGUGGGGACAGGCGGCCCUUGGCAGCCUGUCUGCCAUCCCCACAUGUUCCCUUGCCCUGCCAGAUCCUCAUCAUGGACGUGAUUGAGGUGGUGCCCGAACCUGGCCAGCCCCUAACCAAGAACAAGUUCAAGGUCCUAUACGAAAAGGAACAGAAGGGGCCUGUGACCGCCCUGUGCCACUGCAAUGGUCACCUGGUGUCAGCCAUUGGCCAGAAGGUACACAGCUACUCCUCCCUGCUGUGUUUCUGCCUGCUCACCCUGCCCACUCCACUGACCCUUCUGCCCCCUAGAUCUUCCUGUGGAGCCUGCGGGCCAGUGAGCUGACGGGCAUGGCCUUCAUCGACACCCAGCUGUACAUCCACCAGAUGAUCAGCGUCAAGAACUUCAUCUUAGCUGCAGAUGUCAUGAAGAGCAUCUCACUGCUGCGCUACCAAGAAGAGAGCAAGACGCUGAGCCUGGUGUCCCGGGUACUUCAUGUGGUCUUGGGGUACAGGUGAGAGUCAUACUCGGGCUCCUCCUGACACCUUCUGCUCCCUGACAACAGGAUGCCAAGCCUCUGGAGGUGUACAGUGUGGACUUCAUGGUGGACAAUGCCCAGCUGGGCUUUUUGGGUGAGUAGGGUCUUGGGGGAGUGUCACCCUGGGGGUGGCUGGAGCUGACUCUGGGUCUUUGCUCCCUAGUGUCUGACCGAGACCGCAACCUCAUGGUGUACAUGUACCUGCCAGAAGGUCAGUGGCUCCCUCCCUCACUUGUUUUUUUCAAUGUUUUUUAGUAGUUGAUGGACCUCUAUUUAUUUGUAUGUGGUGCUGAGAGUCGAACCCAGUGCAUCACACAUGCUAGACAAGCUAUCACUGAGCCACAACCCCAGCCCUCCCUCCCUCACUUCUACUCCGGCUGGGUAUUGGGCACUGGGUGGGCAGUGAUCUGAGUUCUUCUGUCCUAGCCAAGGAGAGCUUUGGGGGCAUGCGCCUGCUGCGCAGGGCAGACUUCCACGUGGGUGCCCACGUGAACACGUUCUGGAGAACGCCAUGCAGGGGGGCCACUGAGGGGCCCAGCAAGAAGUCGGUGGUGUGGGAGAACAAGCACAUCACGUGGUUUGGUGAGUGGGGUGGGGUAACUGAGCUCACUGCCCCCUCGAGCCACACUGGAUGACUAGGGGGUUGACCUGGCUCACGCUUCCCCCCAUCCCCAGCCACACUGGAUGGCGGCAUCGGGCUCCUGCUGCCCAUGCAGGAGAAGACCUACCGGAGGCUGCUGAUGCUGCAGAACGCACUGACCACCAUGUUGCCCCACCAUGCUGGUCUCAACCCCCGUGCCUUCCGGUGAGCACCCACCAUCCUCAGGGCUCUGCCUACCCUCCCAGGUUGCCCUGACCCCCCACACCCCCUCCCCAGGAUGUUGCAUGUGGACCGGCGCAUCCUACAGAACGCAGUGCGCAACGUGCUUGACGGAGAGCUGCUCAACCGCUACCUGUACCUCAGCACUAUGGAGCGUGGGGAGCUGGCCAAGAAGAUUGGCACGACCCCAGACAUUGUGAGUUGGCCUGCUUUCCCCCGCCCAUCCUGUCCCUGCCCUGCUGAGCCCUGCCCUGACGGCUUUCACCCUACAGAUCCUUGAUGACCUGCUGGAGACUGACCGUGUCACCGCCCACUUCUAAGCAUGUGGAUGCCACCCUGCCCCCGCACACUGCCUCCCCCCACCUUUUGUACAAAACAAGGAAAACAAA
rnacentral:lncRNA from 1 species